GACGAACGCUGGCGGCGUGCCUAAUAAAUGCAAGUAGGACGCAGUUGCGAACGGGUGAGUAACGCGUAGGUAACUACCUAUUCGAGGGGGAUAACUAUUGGAAACGCUAGCUAAUACCGCAUACUAGUAGAUGGACAUGCGUUGUAUUAGCUAGUAGGUAGGGUAAGGGCCUACCUAGGCAACGAUACAUAGCCGACCUGAGUGGGUGGUCGGCCCCGCUUGGACUGAGCCACGGCCCAUACUCCUACGGGAGGCGGCAGUAGGGAAUCUUCGGCAAUGGGGGGAACCCUGACCGAGCACUGCAGCGUGAGUGAAGACGGUUUUCUGAUCUUAAAGCUCUUUUGUUAAGGAAGCGGUACUUAGCCAGAAAAGGACGGCUAACUCCGUGCCAGCAGCCGCGGUAAUAC
rnacentral:rRNA from 1 species